GCGCCGGUUGUGCAACGGUUAGCUACGCUCCCGAAAAGAUUAAGAUCUGGGUUCGAAUCCCGGCUGACGUA